rnacentral:rRNA from 1 species
GAGUUUGAUCAUGGCUCAGGAUGAACGCUGGCGGUAUGCUUAACACAUGCAAGUCGAACGAAAGCUUUAUGCUUUAGUGGCGAACGGGUGCGUAAUACGUGAGAAUCUGCCCUUAGGAGGAGAAUAACUUCUGGAAACGGUUGCUAAGUCUCCAUAUGCCGAGAGGUAAAAUAGUUUACACUGCCUAGGGAUGAGCUCACGCCUGAUUAGCUUGUUGGUAAGGUAAUGGCUUACCAAGGCCACGAUCAGUAGCUGGUUUGAGAGAACGAUCAGCCACACUGGGACUGAGACACGGCCCAGACUCCUCCGGGAGGCAGCAGUGAGGAAUUUUCCGCAAUGGGCGAAAGCCUGACGGAGCAAUACCGCGUGAGGGAUGAAGGAUUUUGGUCUGUAAACCUCUUUUCUCAAGAAAGAAGUUCUGACGGUACUUGAGGAAUAAGCAUCGGCUAACUCCGUGCCAGCAGCCGCGGUAAUACGGGGGAUGCAAGCGUUAUCCGGAUUUAUUGGGCGUAAAGCGCCUGUAGGUUGUUUAAUAAGUCUGUUGUUAAAGACUAGGGCUUAACCCUAGGAAAGCAAUGGAAACUACUAGACUUGAGUAUGAUAGGGGUAGAAGGGAAUUUCUAGUGUAGCGGUGAAAUGCGUAGAUAUUAGAAAGAACACCGGUGGCGAAGGCGCUCUACUGGAUCAUUACUGACACUCAGAGGCGAAAGCUAGGGUAGCAAAAGGGAUUAGAUACCCCUGUAGUCCUAGCCGUAAACGAUGGAUACUACAUGUUGCGUUUUUAAUGCAGUAUGGUAGCUAACGCGUUAAGUAUCCCGCCUGGGGAGUACGG